rnacentral:misc_RNA from 1 species
GUUAAGUUUAUGGGCGGAACGGUGUCCGCUGAACAUUCUCGACGAACUGGUGUCUGCGAGACCGCAGCUUCGGACGGGCUCGCGCCGCGCCCUCUGCCGCGAAAGGUGCACAGUGGGGUUUGUGGUUUUCGGGGAACGGCGCCCGCUCGCGGUCGGAACCGGAGCAGGGCCUCCGAACCCCGAGGAGAUGCGUUAAUGAUCCUUCCGCAGGUUCACCUACGGAAA